CCUACGGGGUGCAGCAGUGGGGAUUAUUGCACAAUGGGCGCAAGCCUGAUGCAGCCAUGCCGCGUGUAUGAAGAAGGCCUUCGGGUUGUAAAGUACUUUCAGCGGGGAGGUAGGUGUUGUGGUUAAUAACCGCAGCAAUUGACGUUACCCGCAGAAGAAGCACCGGCUAACUCCGUGCCAGCAGCCGCGGUAAUACGGAGUGUGCAAGCGUUAAUCGGAAUGACUGGGCGUAAAGCGCACGCAGGCGGUCUGUCAAGUCGGAUGUGAGAUCCCCGGGCUCAACCUGGGAACUGCAUUCGAAACUGGCAGGCUAGAGUCUUGUAGAGGGGGGUAGAAUUCCAGGUGUAGCGGUGAAAUGCGUAGAGAUCUGGAGGAAUACCGGUGGCGAAGGCGGCCCCCUGGACAAAGACUGACGCUCAGGUGCGAAAGCGUGGGGAGCAAACAGGAUUAGAUACCCUGGUAGUC
rnacentral:rRNA from 1 species